rnacentral:rRNA from 1 species
GCGCAGAACCUUACCAGCGUUUGACAUCCCGCGCUACUUCCAGAGAUGGAAGGUUCCCUUCGGGGACGCGGUGACAGGUGCUGCAUGGCUGUCGUCAGCUCGUGUCGUGAGAUGUUGGGUUAAGUCCCGCAACGAGCGCAACCCUCGUCCUUAGUUGCCAUCAUUUAGUUGGGCACUCUAAGGAAACCGCCGGUGAUAAGCCGGAGGAAGGUGGGGAUGACGUCAAGUCCUCAUGGCCCUUACACGCUGGGCUACACACGUGCUACAAUGGCGGUGACAGUGGGCAGCAAGCACGCGAGUGUGAGCUAAUCUCCAAAAGCCGUCUCAGUUCGGAUUGUUCUCUGCAACUCGAGAGCAUGAAGGCGGAAUCGCUAGUAAUCGCGGAUCAGCAUGCCGCGGUGAAUACGUUCCCAGGCCUUGUACACACCGCCCGUCACACCAUGGGAGUUGGGUUCACCCGAAGGCGUUGCGCUAACUCGCAAGAGAGGCAGGCGACCACGGUGGGCUUAGCGACUGGGGUGAAGUCGUAACAAGGUAACC